rnacentral:rRNA from 1 species
AGUGAACGCUGGCGGUAGGCCUAAUACAUGCAAGUCGAACGACACCUCAUUAAGAGCUUGCUCUUACGGUUGCCGAUAGACGGAUGGGUGAGGAACACGUCGGAAUCUACUUUUUCGUGGGGGAUAACGUAGGGAAACAUACGCUAAUACCGCAUACGACACACGGGUAAAAUCAGUAGAUCUUCGGAACUUUCGCGAAUGAAUGAGUCGAUGGCGGAUUAGCUAGUUGGCGGGGUAAAGGCCCACCAAGGCGACGAUCCGUAGCCGGUCUGAGAGGAUGAUCAGCCACACUGGAACUGAGACACGGUCCAGACUCCUACGGGAGGCAGCAGUGGGGAAUCUUGGACAAUGGGCGCAAGCCUGAUGCAGCCAUGCCGCGUGGGUGAAGAAGGCCUUCGGGUCGUAAAGCCCUUUUGUUGGGGAAGAAAAGCCGCGGGUUAAAACGCCGACGUUCUGACGGUACCCAACGAGAAAGCACCGGCUAACUUCGUG